rnacentral:rRNA from 1 species
CCUGGUGGCUAUGGCGAAGCGCCCAGAACCCGAUCCCAUUCCGAACUCGACCGUUAAACGCUUCUGCGCCAAUGGUACUGUGUCUUAAGGCACGGGAGAGUAGGUCGCCGCCAGGU